rnacentral:misc_RNA from 1 species
AACGCACAUUGCGCCCCCUGGUAUUCCGGCGGGCAUGCCUGUUCGAGCGUCAUUUCGACACUCAAGCGAGGAGCUUGGUAUUGGGAUCUUGGCCCCCCGGGGGCCGUCCCGAAUGUCAGCGGCGACGCGACCGGAUUCCCAGCGCAGUGACAUAUUUCUCGCUGAUUGGAUCCCCGGGAGACGUCCGCCGGGCAACAGACCCUUUUUUUUAAGCUUGACCUCGGAUCAGGUAGGGAUACCCGCUGAACUUAA